AUCCUUUUCUUCUAUAGACAGAGAGUAAGAGACUAAAACCCCAAAUCCAAGAGGCAGAGAUUGACAGGUAUGAGUGCAGAGGGCGCAGAGCAUGCGCAAACGCACAGCCAUGUCCAGCCUGCAUGAGCUCCCUCCUCCUUACCCCUCACAGGCCCGAUGGAGUUGCUGAGGGCAUAGCGCAAGAUCCUCUCCUCCUUGUUGUACAGGACAAACACGCUGUCCACAGAGAGCUGCUGGGUGCUGGGCAGGGCUGGCCUGGCGUCAUCGUGGGCACACUCCUGGAAGGUUGUGACUGAUCAGAAGUAUGGCCUCCAUCCCCUCCUCCCAGACACAUGUUCAUAUUCCUGGACGUUAUCUAUUCUCUGAGGAAAGCUGCUAAAUGAGAUCACUGACCAAUCAGGACAUAUCUGACAUGAAGUAACUCUGCACUUCCACUGUGUCAUUACACUGGGGAUCCUAUGACCCCUUGCAGGUUAAUGGGGGCGGGGGGGGGGGGGGAAAUGCAUUCCAAGAACAUUACAGAAACAACAAAGGAAGCCAAGUUAAGAAAGGCAAAUAAAGCGCUUCUGCCAGACUCUACGCUGGCCUUUCUCCCCCCUGGUUAUUGGAGUCAGGGUCUCUCUCAUUCAGUAGCCCUAGCUGGCCUGGAAUUCAAACGUACAGCCAUCCCCUGCCCCAGUCUCCCCAGUGUUAGGAUUAUAGGCAUGAGGUACCUGUAUAAAAAUGCAUGCCUACAUUAAAAAAAAAAAUUAAGUAGCAAAAUCCAACAAAUAUUUCAACCCCAAAGCAAUUACAGGGUGUGUACAAAAUGUCAAGAUGUGUAGCUGAGCAGUUUGUCACACCUGAGCUCAAUGCCAGUUUGCUUAGCAUUUUUAGCUCUGAUAUGGGAGAGAGGAGAGCUAAGUGGCCCGAGCACAGCGCCCCCAAUGGAGGAGCUAGAGAAAGUAUCCAAGGAGCUAAAGAGAUCUGCAACCCUGUAGGUACAACAUUAUGAACUAACCAGUACCCCGGAGCUCUUGACUCUAGCUGCAUAUGUAUCAAAAGAUGGCCUAGUUGGCCAUCACUGGAAAGAGAGGCCCAUUGGACUUGCAAACCUUAUACGCCCCAGUACAGGGGAAUGCCAGGGCCAAAAAUGGGAAUGGGUGGGUAGGGAGGGUAUGGGGGACUUUUGGGAUAGAAUUCUAAAUGUAAUUGAGGAAAAUACGUAAU
rnacentral:lncRNA from 1 species